CUUAACUAUAAGAAUUUGCUGGAGAUACUAUUAGACUUGAAGUCGGGAGAGGUUAGAGGUACUACCGGGGUAGGGGUGAAAUCCUAUAAUCCUGGGAGGACCACCUGUGGCGAAGGCGUCUAACUGGAACGAUCUUGACGGUGAGUAACGAAAGCCAGGGGCGCGAACCGGAUUAGAUACCCGGGUAGUCCUGGCCGUAAACGAUGUGGACUUGGUGUU
rnacentral:rRNA from 1 species